rnacentral:pre_miRNA from 1 species
AUCACCUGGGCAUCUUGUUAAAAUGCAGGUUCUAGUUCAGUAAGGUGGAGUCUGAAAUUCUGCAUUUCUAACAAACUUCCAAGUGAUGUUGG